CCUUUUGGCUAAGAUCAAGUGUAGUAUCUGUUCUUAUCAGUUUAAUAUCUGAUACGUCCUCUAUCCGAGGACAAUAUAUUAAAUGGAUUUUUGGAGCUGGGAGUUGGAAUAGAAGCUUGCUCCGUCCACUCCACGCAUCGACCUGCUCGGAAGAGUGUGUGU